UGAACUUUUGAAAAAAAGUCUUUGGGCUCAAG
rnacentral:piRNA from 1 species